rnacentral:rRNA from 1 species
GAUAGGUUAAGUUAUUAAGGGCGCAUGGUGGAUGCCUUGGCACUAGGAGCCGAUGAAGGA